UACAGAGGGGGCAAGCGUUAUUCGGAAUUAUUGGGCGUAAAGGGCGCGUAGGCGGCCUGGCAAGUGGAAGGUGAAAUCCCUCGGCUUAACCGAGGAACUGCCCUCCAAACUGCUUGGCUUGAGUCCGGGAGAGGUGAGUGGAAUUCCCAGUGUAGCGGUGAAAUGCGUAGAUAUUGGGAGGAACACCAGUGGCGAAGGCGGCUCACUGGACCGGAACUGACGCUGAGGAGCGAAAGCGUGGGGAGCGAACAGG
rnacentral:rRNA from 1 species